CCCUUAGAUGUUCUGGGCCGCACGCGUGCUACACUGAGUGGAUCAGCGGGUCAGGUUGCGCGAAAGCGUUUCCUAAUCUUUAAAUCCGCUCGUGAUGGGGAUUGACGGUUGCAAUUUUCUGUCAUGAACGAGGAAUACCUUGUAAGCGCGGGUCAUCAUCCCGCUCUGAAUACGUCCCUGCCCUUUGUACACACCGCCCGUCGCUCCUACCGAUUGAGUGGUCCGGUGAGGCUUUGGGAUCUGAGCGGAAAGAGCGUUUCGCUGUUUCUGCUCGGAAAACUCAGUCGAACCUUAUCAUUUAGAGGAAGGAGAAGUCGUAACA
rnacentral:rRNA from 1 species